AUUGAACGCUGGCGGCAUGCUUUACACAUGCAAGUCGAACGGCAGCGGGGUAGUGCUUGCACUACUGCCGGCGAGUGGCGAACGGGUAAGUAAUAUAUCGGAACGUACCGAGUAAUGGGGGAUAACCAAUCGAAAGAUUGGCUAAUACCGCAUACGUCCUGAGGGAGAAAGCGGGGGAUCGCAAGACCUCGCGUUAUUCGAGCGGCCGAUAACUGAUUAGCUAGUUGGUGGGGUAAAGGCCUACCAAGGCGACGAUCAGUAGCGGGUCUGAGAGGACGAUCCGCCACACUGGGACUGAGACACGGCCCAGACUCCUACGGGAGGCAGCAGUGGGGAAUUUUGGACAAUGGGGGCAACCCUGAUCCAGCCAUGCCGCGUGUAUGAAGAAGGCCUUCGGGUUGUAAAGUACUUUUGUUAGGGAAGAAAAGGGAAGUGCUAAUACCACUUUUUGCUGACGGUACCUAAAGAAUAAGCACCGGCUAACUACGUG
rnacentral:rRNA from 1 species